rnacentral:rRNA from 1 species
GACGAACGCUGGCGGCGUGCUUAACACAUGCAAGUCGAACGGGAAGGCCCUGCUUUUGUGGGGUGCUCGAGUGGCGAACGGGUGAGUAACACGUGAGUAACCUGCCCUUGACUUUGGGAUAACUUCAGGAAACUGGGGCUAAUACCGGAUAGGAGCUCCUGCUGCAUGGUGGGGGUUGGAAAGUUUCGGCGGUUGGGGAUGGACUCGCGGCUUAUCAGCUUGUUGGUGGGGUAGUGGCCUACCAAGGCUUUGACGGGUAGCCGGCCUGAGAGGGUGACCGGCCACAUUGGGACUGAGAUACGGCCCAGACUCCUACGGGAGGCAGCAGUGGGGAAUAUUGCACAAUGGGCGGAAGCCUGAUGCAGCAACGCCGCGUGCGGGAUGACGGCCUUCGGGUUGUAAACCGCUUUCGCCUGUGACGAAGCGUGAGUGACGGUAAUGGGUAAAGAAGCACCGGCUAACUACGUG